rnacentral:rRNA from 1 species
AUUAAAGAACAUAUAUCCCCUGAACAUGCCUGAUCUUGCCUGAUUUGGAAGCUAAGCAGGGUUGGGCCUGCUUAGUACUUGGAUGGGAGAACACGUGAAGCAUUAUUAUUAACU